ACUGAGAGAUAGUGGCGAACGGGUGAGUAACACGUGGGUAACCUGCCCAUAAGAGGGGGGAUAACGAUCCGGAAACGGGUGCUAAUACCGCAUAGUUUCUUGAUCGCAUGAUCGGGAAAGGAAAGACGGCCUUUGUGCUGUCGCUUAUGGAUGGACCCGCGGCGUAUUAGUUAGUUGGUGAGGUAACGGCUCACCAAGACGAUGAUACGUAGCCGACCUGAGAGGGUCGAUCGGCCACAUUGGGACUGAGACACGGCCCAAACUCCUACGGGAGGCAGCAGUAGGGAAUCUUCCGCAAUGGACGAAAGUCUGACGGAGCAACGCCGCGUGAGUGAAGAAAAGGGUUUUCGGAUCGUAAAACUCUGUUGUCAGAGAAGAACAAGUUGGAGAGUAACUGCUCCAGCCUUGACGGUAUCUGACCAGAAAGCCACGGCUAACUACGUGCCAGCAGCGGC
rnacentral:rRNA from 1 species